UGCAAAAGGUGUUCAGGGCCUUUUCUUCGCAACACAGAAAGAGAAUUCUACUUUGUUAUCAGCUGGUUAUAAUCACUAAGUGCGGCCGGAGGCCGCCUACGCAGAAAGGGGUUCUCUGCAAAAGGUGUUCAGUGCCUUUUCUUCGCAACACAGAAAGAGAAUUCUACUUUGUUAUCAGCUGGUUAUAAUCACUAAGUGCGGCCGGAGGCCGCCUACGCAGAAAGGAGUUCUCUGCAAAAGGUGUUCAGUGCCUUUUCUUCGCAACACAGAAACAGAAUUCUACUUUGUUAUCAGCUGGUUAUAAUCACUAAGUGCGGCCGGAGGCCGCCUACGCAGAAAGGUGUUCUCUGCAAAAGGUGUUCAGCCCCCCUUCUUUGGCAACACAGAAAGGAGAAUUCUACU